AUUGAACGCUGGCGGCAGGCUUAACACAUGCAAGUCGAGCGGGGGAAGGUAGCUUGCUACCGGACCUAGCGGCGGACGGGUGAGUAAUGCUUAGGAAUCUGCCUAUUAGUGGGGGACAACAUCUCGAAAGGGAUGCUAAUACCGCAUACGUCCUACGGGAGAAAGCAGGGGAUCUUCGGACCUUGCGCUAAUAGAUGAGCCUAAGUCGGAUUAGCUAGCUGGUGGGGUAAAGGCCUACCAAGGCGACGAUCUGUAGCGGGUCUGAGAGGAUGCUCCGCCACACUGGGACUGAGGCACGGCCCAGACUCCUACGGGAGGCAGCAGUGGGGAAUAUUGGACAAUGGGGGGAACCCUGAUCCAGCCAUGCCGCGUGUGUGAAGAAGGCCUUAUGGUUGUAAAGCACUUUAAGCGAGGAGGAGGCUACUCUAGUUAAUACCUAGGGAUAGUGGACGUUACUCGCAGAAUAAGCACCGGCUAACUCUGUGCCAGCCGCCGCCGUAA
rnacentral:rRNA from 1 species